CAUUCCAUUAAUUUCUAUUUAUAAUAUAUAGUUAACGCUAGGGAUACACAUCGGUGCCAUUUACUGUUUGAGUUUUCCAUCUAUGCUGCACUCGUUAAAAUUGACGCACACACGUGUGAACGUGUACUUUAUUUUUUAUUAUUCAUUUGAUCAACCGAUUAAAAAAUUUUAUGUUUGUUUUUAAUCCCUGUAAUACUUGGAGUGAAUGUACAGUAUUACGGUAUAUAACGAUAUGUGCGUAAAUAUCCCUACGCCUACAGUGCUUGUGUAAUUACUUAUUCAUCGCAGAACGCAAAUUGUCACCCUCAUGUAAUACGUGGUACCAUGGAUAUGUAGUACCUACGUUAUGUGUACAUUAUCAGCUCUCCUGCUGGGAUUCGCUGUAUGAAAACGUUUUAUUUUAUUCUUUAUGUUUUAUUUCAAACGCUGCAGUUUUUUCUUUCUAUUUUUUUUUUCCAGUUUGGAAUUGUUACGGAGGUAGGUUUAGGGGCUCGGAAAACCCUUUCCGUUCUCUUUGUAUCGCUGUUGAGACUAUGAGAGAGUGCUGCACGGUGUUGCACAAUUUGCCUCAAGGCGUUUACGCUGCAGACGCCCCUAAAAUUUUCAACUCCCCCGAGUUUUUUUUUAAUUUAUUUAUUUUCAUUUCAUAAUUUCCACGUUGCCGUUACGUACCCUCAGGCGUAACACCUACAGAAUUGGUGAAUCAUUUUUUCAGUACGUGUACAAAAUUUUUCGAGUAAAAUUUUUUUCAAACUUUGGUUAAAUGUUUUUUUUCUUACACGCACUUGUUCUAAUUGCCAGAUGUUUUGUGUAUCGAGUUUCCUUAUCUUCGACAAACGAUCGCACGUGUUCAUGUAUAACCCAUUUCAUUUAAUAUCUUAUUUCUGAAAGAGCGUCUCUGACCCCUCAGAAAUAUUCAUUUGUUUGACGCCAUUAGAAUGCUAAUACCUCACAUGGUAUAAUAAUGCACUAGAGUGUUGGUGUAAGUUAUCGAGCCGUGGUAUAACUACGGACGUUGUAUACAUAUAGCUAGUAGGGGCUGAAGGGUGCGCCCUGGUCCCCGUUUUAAUAUACCAUCAUAUUAUAAUUGAAGGGAUGCUAAUUGGAGAACUUUGGCGUCGUGUGGGUGCGUGAGGGUGUGUGUGUUUGUGUUCGAUGGUGAAGAAGGAGUGAAAGGAAUUUUAUGUCGAGGGGUAGGAAAACGGGAAGGAGGAGGUGAAAUAUGUAGUGACAAAGCUUUUAAUUGCUCUUGCGGCGUCUAGCUAUGGUAUUAUAUACAUAGGUAUAUAAGUAUGUACAUAUGGGAUCACUUCUUCAGACAUCAAAAGCUCCGUUUUUCAAUUCUUCGCGUUACUCGCAGUUUAAUACUUCGACUACCGCAAGCUUCGCUAUUGAAAAAAACUUCUCUUCACUCUCGUGGUUUUGAAUAUUCAGCAAAAUCUCAACACCCUUACUUGCACUUUCUUUUUUUUCUACUUCUUCAUCUUCUCAUUAUAUAGAAUAACUAUCUUCCGUGAAAAAUAAUCCCGAUGAGUAAAGCUUUUUUGUCAUACACUUAAUUAUACAUACAAUUCGCAAUCUAAUAAAUUUAUGUGUGUACUUUCAUUGUACAUGUAGAUGCAAAGAAUUCGAAUCAAUUUUUAUCAUUCGUUUGCAAUCAAAAGUCUUGGAAAAAGGAAAAGAAAAAAUUAAUUCUUUCAAACCUACAGCGUUGAGUGUAACGACUUGAUUCUGAAACUCAUCAUCGGUUUCCAGGUCUCAAAUAUUUCUAUUCAAAUCUCACGUAGAAUAACGCAUUGCUAUAAUUUGAGGCCCGUGUCAUUCGUCAACCCCGGCGCACUUGGAAUUCAAUGUACGUUUUUAAUUUUUCGAGGGGCGGAACAACAUGGCGUAUAUGCCUAUUUAUAAACAUAGCCCUGUUUAUUUAGUACACAGGUUAUGAAGAUGAAGGUGCAGAUAUACAAUCCAUUUGUCUGCGUACGUUAAUAUUUUUACAACCCAAAGAAUAGUUUACUUGUUCUAUAUACGCUUGUGAUGCGGAAUACGAACCGAAACAGAGUGACUAUAUUUACCCCUGUUUAUUUUCGAACCUCGGCUCUCCCCUGCGGCACACACUAAUGUAAUUGACACAUUACCGUACCAAUUUCUCUUUUAUUUACCAAAAACCGAUCGAACUGAAACUGACACUCCGAUGAAACGGCUACAAAUUCGGGCGAUUUCAUUGUCGGAUCAUUUUCAACUGCUGAAUAAAUGAGAUUCAAUAUUUACCACGCCGAAUCAAAUUUUGAAUCGUAAAUUCUCUCAUUACACAUCUGGAAUUGUUUGAUCGUUUCGUUCGAGAAGUGCAAAAAUUUUGUAAAAAUCAAAGACGAUUUUUAAAAAAAUAAAAAGUAACAAAAAAUAUUAUUCCUCCGUUACGAUUUAUAAUCUACAGUAGAUCUGUCAUAGAUAUAAACUACGAGUACCUACUUUCCGACUUGCUGAUUUUAUUGUCACUCGUAAUGUUGGGUGAGGAAAGCCUCCAGCAGACCACUAUUUGUCGAUAACAAACUUGCUCAGUUUUGUCGUCUGUUAUUUCAGAUGGAACGAAGAAAACCAAAAAGAACGAACUGAUGGUUCUAAACUCCUUAUGAUUUAUACAUCACGUGUACGAAUAUUCACUGUAUUCUGUUCGGAAGGUUCUGUCAAAUACAUAGACGAAUACAUUUGUACCGCGAAAAACCGUUCAACGAACGAUUACGUAAUUUUCUGUUUUAUAAAUAUAAAUUUUGCUCGAGGACUCAACAAUCGUUCGCACGUUUCUCCAUGACGUAGUUGCAGCAGCGCAACGACAGACAACGAUUGGGUAUAAAACUCUAUAAACAAUUCUCAAUUUUAUUAGUAUUAUAUGUAUAAGCUGCUUCUUUUUUUGCCAAAUUGCACAGUCAGACUUCCAUCGUCAUGAUCGUGUCAUUCGCACCUUCCUAUAAAUAAUACCAUGAAAAUGAUUUUUAAUUUCAACAUUAGCUGAAGAGAGUUUUUUUUUUUUUUCUCAUUCUAUCUCCAAUUUGAACUUUUGCCUCGCAACAUUUUACAUGUAUUCCAACUUUUUCACAAACUAUAAGUUGAAAUAACGAUGUACACGUUUUUUUAUUCAUUAUAUAUACGUGCAUAGCUAUGUAUAAUACCCGGAAAUGUGGUAAAAAUUUUUUUCGGGACAACACAGUUUUUUUGUAAUAAAGUUAGAAGCGUGCGUGAAUAGGUCAGUUUUUAGACUUUAAUCAUCGAGAGUACAUGGAACACGUAGGUGUACAUACAUUUAUAUCUAAAUAUGUAUAUAUUAUAUGCUUCGGGUACUGUAUUUUCACGGUAAUUAUCAUGGUGUUGAUUCUCGUAGACUAUACUACUCCAGGCAGAGCUUUAAUUACAGACUUGCCCGGUUACGAGUUUUCACUUUGUUCCCUGAGUACGCUUUUUUCUUUCACUAACCUAAUAAAUUAUCGAAUAAUUGAAUAAAUGUAUUUGAGUGAGACUAAAAAAAAAAAUGUUAUCUCCAUUUUUAUGGUAAAUGUACAGGCUGGUCAGCGCGUCAUAUUUCACGGUUCGACGACAAUCUGUGACACGUAAUCGAGUGAUGGACGUGUCGUUAUACCAACACAACUCAAUUUCCGGUUUUCGGAUAAUUUUCAGACUUGAGAAAACAGCAAUACCUGCGAUCCGUGCAAGAUUAUACGCGUUUUCAUCACCUAAAUGGGUAAUACUUGAUGUAAUGACCCCAAAGUAGAUCAGAAGAAUUUGAGCUAUUGUCGUAUAUUACCGUUUAUAAAUGUAAAACGAUAUUGAAGUGAAAUAUAACGAUAUCCGCUGCACUUCCGGAAUUCAUAAAUCCGUGUAGAUAUACUUACUGAAAUAGUAUCUCCAUAUCAUACAUUUUGCUAUCAUUUAAUAAACAUUAAAAAUAUCAUAUCCUUUUGUGUAGACCUUCUCCCGCAAUAGGAAUAAUUCUCCUUCACCGGAAGUAGACUUUCUACCAGAUUACAUACCUCGCGCGCGAUUAUAGUAAAGUGAUAAAUAAUUAUGAAAUCACGUACACGUAUAAUCAUGCCACAGCAGCUGCGGACAGUAGAUCGAUAUACAGUUCUGAUAUUUAGUACCCAUUGUACAUCGACGUACAGAUCUCGAUUUAUUCAUUUAUACUUCCGAUGAAAAAAACGCCAAAUUUUUGUCGAUCCAAAUGCAAAGAAAUUCCGUUUGCAUUUAUAUUGCGAACCAUAAAAAAUCGAAUGAAAAAUAAAAUGGACGUCUUUGAGGGCAGAGAUUUGGAAGUUGGCAGGUGGUCAUCCGAUAGUGUUUGAGCCAUUUAAUUCGGGUGAUUGCUGCUUUACGGAGUACCGGUGGUCUGCAGGAAGUGAAGCGUCGAGGCGUGGCGCCGGGUUGGCUGUUAUAUUCGCAGCUUAUGGUAUACAUAUAAGUAUAUAGGUAGGUACAUAUCCUUACGGCUAUACAUAUCCUUACGGCUAUACAUACGAUCCACUCUUUCCCGCGAUUAUUUUUCCGUGCAGUACCAAAAAGUAGGACACCAAUUGCUAGAAGAUGAAUUCGACGAGAUAACGGCGCUAUCUUCACGUUGCCGAAGCUUUUUUUCAAACAGAUUCUCUUCGCUUUCUGUUCUUCAUCUUAAUCUUAUUUCAUUGUCAAUUAAUUUUUCUUUCCUUUUUUUUUCCAAUUCAUCGUUUUAUUGUUAGCAUUGUAUUAAAUCUCAGCUGUGAUUAUAAGCUCGUACGUUUACAACGAUGUGCUGACAAUUGACUCGAAUAUUUUCUAAUUAGGUUAUUAUAAUAUACGGUAGUAUUUGAAUUUACAACGACAAUUUAUACACGUGUAAUUUAUCAACGUUAACCACUCUCUCUAUCUGUUUAUAUAGAGAUUUGUCACGAUUGCCCCCGCUGAUAAUUGCCAUCGCUGCUUAUUAUCACAUCUCCUUUCUCUGCGAUAUUAAAAUAAAACGAAACAUCGGUCGAGAAGAAAUAUCCUAUAAAUUAUUGGGAACAAUUGAAAAAAAGAAACUUCUUUACAGAACGAACCACGAAGAAGAGAAAGAAAAUGCGCGUUACUUGUGUUGUACAAAUUUGUUUGUAUUGAUGAUGUAGCAUAAGUACUGUACCGCUGUACCGUAUAAUGUGAGUAACAAAUCACCAGUUGUUGAUAUAUUGUAAUAAUACAUCGUUUUUGUUAUUUGUAUGUAACGGGGGGAAAAUUUCAACAAAUUGACGAUGCUUUACGAUCGUUGUACAAUUAUACCCGGAUAGCUGGUCGGAUUAUAAGUUCGGCUGCGGUUCAGGAAUAUGAGAUUUUAUCGUCUCUAUAUUGGAAGUAGAAUAUGUAUAAUGUAUACAUAUAUACUCGUAUAGCAUAUUUAUUUAUAAGGGUAUAUAACUAAUGGCAACUGCAGUAACAUCUUUGCUUUGCUUGUCGGGGCAAAAGUUAGUUUAUUAUAUUUCUUGGGUGGGUUACUUUCAACUGUACGAAUAUAUAUACGUGUAUCUACAUAUUCUCGUUAUGAUAUACAAGAAUUGCAUUAUUGUAACCGCUUUCACGGUAAUUUCCGUGUAUACAUGUACAAAGAUUGAAUUAUUAUGAUAAUUUCUGAAUAUACUAUUCAACAAAAUGAGCGAAACACCCCAUAGCAUUUCUAGCCAUUUCCUGAUGGUUGUAAUCAGUCGACUCGAAACCUACCCUCAUUGCAGGGGGUAUACGUACUCGAAAUCUACCUUAAGUUGAAAACACUUAUACGUGAACGCGUUCGGAAAUUGCAUGAAAUUUUAAUCCAAAUUCGGAAUGAUUAGAUAUAAUGGUGAGUUUUGUGAGUCAGGUCAUGAUUCCGAAGUCUAUAUCCUGUAGGUUUCCUCCCACACAUGUGACGCGUAGAUACAUAAGAUAUAGGGAUACGUAUAUACGUAAGCAUACAGGUAUAACACAUUCGCGAAUCCUAUACAUUAGCCUACAUUGAUCGUAGCUGUCGUUGUCGUCGUCGUCGUCGUCGUCGUCUGGUCGAGCUUACAAGUCACCGUUUAGUCCUCGCGUUAUCUAUUUGAGAUCACGAGGAGCAAGUGGGUGUAUAACUUAUAACUGUUACAGCCGUCUCCGCGUGUAACCGCAUAUACAUCUCAUUACCAUAUACUACACCGACGAUGCUUUUGCUCACUCGAUCGAGCUUCUAUACCUCGACUACGUCUCACAUCUAUCUGGCCAGUCAGGAAGUCGCUAAGUAAAUUCGCAAUCAAUCAAACACAUAUACAGGCAACCUAUACAUUCAUCUAUUUCUUAAAACAUCUCUUUUAUUAAAAUUCAAAGUCGGUAUAUCAGACUAAGGAUCAUACAAUAUCGAUCAUAGAUCUUUCGUGUCAGGUCUAUUGAUAUAGUUUUAGAUAAAUUUUGAUAAUUCGUAUAACUUCUUUCACAUUACCAGAUUUAAUUUAUGGUUCGCGUACUACUCAUACUACACGCUUCGACGCAGUUUACCGUAAGACGUUUUAUGUAUCCGAUGAAUGAACUUUCUAUGAGUAUACGGGAUAAUGAAAUACAAGAUGGUAUGUAUCAGUGCACGUACACGCGGUAUAUGCGAAGUCGUUACUUGUUUCUUGUAUACCUACAGCCUCCUUUUCCCGCUGAUGCAUACACUGCGCCCGCAAUUAGUCGCGCGGAUUCUCUUAUCGUCUUGUGAAAUUAUCUCGUGUCUGCCGCAGAAUGAAAGUAGCCUAUAGUAUUUUAUGUAUAUAUGUGUGUACGCACAUUUGUAAGACUCCGUGUGAUCUACCUGCACGUUGUUUACAUUCAUAGAUUGUUACAGACCCACACCGCUUCGUAAACCCAGUUAGCUCGAAACCUGCAGGUGCCAAUCUUUACCGUCUUGACACGUAAGCUCAAUUAACAGUUCAUUCUUUUUCUGGUUCAUUCAAUUUUUUCAUUCUUUUCUCGUGCCUUCUGAAUUUGCUGAAUUGUAGAUUGUCCUACAACAAUUUGCGGCGAUGCCUAUGGAAACAUGAGCGUUUAUGAUUGCCAUUCAGACACCUAUGUCUUACUGAUUUUUAGUCUCUUUGCGAGGGUGUGUCGCGAGAAAAUAAAGAUGAAUGACAUUUUGAAUUGCGAUCUUAUAGCGGAUGCGGAUCGUUAUCUUUGAAACGAGAUUUCUUCAUUUUUUUUUAUUCUCAUGUAUGUUUGUCGGGGAUUCUCUAUCUAACAUACAAUGGCUAUAUGUAUAUACUUCUCUAUGUACUUAAUAUGUAUACGGAAUUUCGAUUAUAGAAUCAGAUCGAUUCGUACUUAUGUAAAUGACGUAUACUCCAUUUUAUAGAACGAGAGACACGAGACCGAAGACCCAUGUACGAUGCUCCAAUGUAGUACAUAUCUACCUUCCCAACCUUGAGAUUGAUUAAGCCAGGGAUGGGUGUGUAGUUGCUCGAUGGUUAACAAUAUCGAUUUUGGAGAUUCACGUAUUCUUAUAAGUAUGGAAUUUAUUCCUGAAGUAUAUUGAAGAAUUAAUCUAGAUAACAGCGAUUUUGCGAGUGAAGAUUGCAUGCAAAUGAAUUUUCGUGAAAAACUUUUUUUUAAUGAAUCGAAUUCUCUUUCGUAUUCGGAUCGGUUAAUGUUUCAAAGAAAUAAUGGCCACUGAUUCUGAAAAUUAUGUUUUCAAAUUCGAAGGACUUGAGCGCUUUCAAAUUAAUUGCGAUAAUUUUCGUUCAUGUUGGUGAAAUUCGAAAGGUUGAGUCCAACGUCCUCGAACUUCUCGCCGAUAAAUCGAUGAUUGUUUAUGACAGUAAUCGAGGUUUCUGUAUGUAUACUCAACUCAGCCAUAUACAUUCUCAGUUGACCCGAGAUCGUGUCAUCGCGGUAAUAAACAUCCUGUAUAAAUCAAUUUGAUUGUCAUUCAAGAUGUGCGGAACAUAAGUGCGGAGGGGAGAAAUCUUAGAAGAGUUUACGGUAGAUGAUGAGGAGAAAUAAACGCAGAGGAGAAAAAAAAAGGAGAAAGAGAAGGAUGUUGGAAAUACACUAUAGGCGCCGCGGUAGACCGUACGAUACAGCAGAGGUAACAGGAUCUCUUUGACUGGAGCUAACGAGCUCUGCGUUUUCAGGCGAGAGAUGGACGCCACAUGCCGCAAUUUGAUCACAGAUCCAAAACACAAGACUCCCCAGUGUAUCUCAGAAAUCAAUAUGUUCAGAAAAUGAUGAUAUAUAUGAUUCAAUUGUUACGGACGUUGAUGAAAACGCAUACAUCGAGUACCCUCAUGAAUGAUCAAAAUAUUAUUCGGUUGAUAGUUGCAAGAAUAAAAUUGUUGAUGUAUUGAUUUAUCAAUAAACUUAACUAUAAUAGA